rfam:Loxodonta africana unplaced genomic scaffold scaffold_12, whole genome shotgun sequence.
CCCUGUGUAGCAUAAAUGGUUAAGCACUUGGCUACUAACCAAAAGGUUGGUGGUUUGAAUCCACCCAGAGGAG